GACAAGGAAGAAAAAAACAACUGUAAUUUCUAGAUUCAUAGAGGCCGCUCCUUUCAACGGACAAUUGAAAGAAAUCUAGAAAAAAAAAACGGUAAUUGUCCAAACGGCUAGAUUUCCAUACCUUUAAUUGUCUUCUGUGAUGAGAUUGAGAUGCAUUUGCAAUUGCAAUUGCAAUCAAGCAAUUACACAAUUUCAUAGCACGGCUGUGCUUUCCGGUAGUAUUGUGAUCAUUAGGUCUGCAGAAUUAUAGGCAUUCGCUGCUGUAUUUCAUAGCAUGGCUUGGGGUGGGAUGUGCUUUACGGUAGUAUUGUGAUUAUUACCUGGAGCAUUCGCUGCUUUAUUUCCAGACAAUAAUCUCUCGGAGUGACAGGACAGGGGUGUUUUACAAGGCUGAGGACAUGCUAGCAGAGUGGAACGGAGUUCAAGUGGGACAUGAAGACAUAAGGGCAUCGCAAACUGCUUUCUCUUCUUGUUGUUUUGGGUGAAAUGUGCAAUUGCAAGCAAGCAAUUAUACAUAUUGGUGGAUGAUGCAACUCUAUUCAAAUUUCAUAGCAUGGUUGUGCAGAGGAAUUGUUCACCGGCAUGGAGACAUUAUGAUUGGUAGCAAGAGGUAUCUCCCACCCGUGUGGCAUCUUGCUUGAUCUACCGCCCCAAUUAACUACCUGUUUUGAAGAUAUAUUCAGGCCCUUUUCUGUCCAACCCAAUUACCUUACAACAUUGAUAAUAUCAUAUGAGCUUUUGAAAGGUUCAUCUGUACUCUUCCAGUCACCUUUUAUCAUUAACUUCAAUAUUUUCUGUUGUGUUUUGAUUACAGCUCAAUGGACUAUCUGGGGCUUAAUCAGUAUACUGCAUACUACAUGUACGAUACUCGCCAACUAAAACCAAAUAUAACAGACUACCUGAUGGACUGGAAUGUAGGUUUUGCAUGAAUGGAAGACCCUGGCAAUUUGACUCUGGAAGUUGGGCUUCAUGAUACAACGAGGGACCUAUUAUAAAGACUAAGUUAAUAAUUUGGUAAAGGCAAUGAAAGAAGCAUCUGGGACUUAAUCAGCGUGUACUGCAUACUACAUGUAUGAUACUCACUAACCAAAACAAUAACAACUACCAGAUGGACUGGAAUGUAGGUUUUGCAUGUAAGAACCUUUAUACCAUGGAUUAACUCGUUCUUCUGACAUCAUAUCAUCCUAUUGUCCUUUGACAAUGCCUUGCAUUGCUGUUAUAUAUUGUUGGCUUUGAUUUGGUACUCUGAAUUACAAUGAAGAACUGGCAGUUCCAAAAAAGCUUAAAAAGCUUGUCUGUUUACAUAUAUUUACUAUAUUAACUGUUUCUUUGAAACCAUAGUUGAGCGCAAUGGUGUUCAAUUUGGACCAAGAGUAAGACCCCUUUCUCUUCUUCGCUAAUUAUAAAUUCGUAUUAUUGUUGUUUAGUAAUAUGCAAUAGUGUUCAUAGGUUAAAAUGCAUGACAGUCUUAAAAGAAUGUAUUUUAGCUGUUAAUAUAUUAGAUAGGAUAUGUUCUUAGAUGCUUUCCUUUAUACGAGUUCAGGGGAGUUGAGUGGUUGUUUAGCACUCAUCCCUCUCCCACUGAAGCCCAUUCUGAUGAGAAAACGGGCUGUCAUGCAUUGGAUUAUCAGCUACAAUCCCAGCUUAUUCAUUUAAGGGUUCAUUUGGACUGGACGACAAGGACUGUUAUUAUUUAAAAGAUGUCCGUAUCUUAGUUGUUAAUAGUUUUGUGUGCUGAUGAAGGUCUAAAUUACUUGUAAACAUUGCUUAACAAUUAUAAUUAAUAAGAAAUAUAUUAUUUUUUUAGGAGGGGUAGAAAUACCUCUCCACAA